rnacentral:misc_RNA from 1 species
UGAAUUUUGACAUUUUCUCCUGUUCUUAAAACUCAACAAAAAGAUCAUAGCUUUCACUCUGCGAAGGCCUAUUGUGACGACGAUCAUCUCCUCCUUUGACCAUCGCCAUCUCCACUUAUCAUGCCGGUGGACAUCUCUGAAGGGGUUUAUCCGGCAGCGUUUCCUGCUCCUUGGACGUCAGAUCAGCAUACCCAUGUUUUUCAAUUGUCUUCUUCGAAUCUUCUCAAAGUCAAAAAAGGAGAUAUCACCAAAUGGUUCGUGGAUGGCCGCUCUGACGCUAUUGUUAAUCCGACAAAUAUAUUUAUGCUUCCAGGUGGAAUAAGCGUGGAUAC